GUUUAGGACCUAUCAGCCUUCGACGGUAUGGUAUUGGGUUACCGUGGCAGUGACGGUUAACGGGGGAUUAGGGUUUGAUUCCGGAGAGGGAGCCUGAGAAACGGCUACCACAUCUAAGGAAGGCAGCAGGCGCGCAAAUUACCCAAUUCUAACAGCUUAAGAGAGGUAGUAACAAGAAAUAACAGUACAAGGCAGUUAAAAUGCUUUGUAAUUGGAAUGAUAGAAAUUUAAACAUUUUUUAAAGGAUCAAUUGGAGGGCAAGUCUGGUGCCAGCAGCCGCGGUAAUUCCAGCUUCAAUAGCGUAUAUUAAAAUUGUUGCAGUUAAAAAGCUCGUAGUUGAAAUUUUGCUAGAAAUAACCAAGCUGCUUUUAUUAAUAAAAGUGGUAUUUUGGUGUAUUACUAGCAAUAAUGUUCUAUAAAGUGUUUUUUACUUUAUUGUAAAAAACAACAUAUAGAAUUUUUACUUUGAGAAAAUUAGAGUGUUUCAAGCAAGCUAACGUUGUGAAUACUGCAGCAUGGAAUAAUAAAAUAGAAUUUUGGUUUUACAUUAUUGGUUUUAAGAACAAAAUUAAUGAUUGAUAGGGGCAGUUGGGGGCAUUUGUAUUUAACUGUCAGAGGUGAAAUUCUUAGAUUUUUUAAAGACAAACUACUGCGAAAGCAUUUGUCAAAGAUGUUUUCAUUAAUCAAGAACGAAAGUUAGGGAUCGAAGACGAUCAGAUACCGUCGUAGUCUUAACUAUAAACUAUGCCCGACUUAGAGAUUGGAGGUCGUCUUAAUUUAACGACUCCUUCAGCACCUUACAAGAAAUCCAAGUCUUUGGGGUCUGGGGGGAGUAUGGUCGCAGGCUGAAACUUAAAGGAAUUGACGGAAGGGCCACCACCAGGCGUGAGC
rnacentral:rRNA from 1 species